rnacentral:lncRNA from 1 species
UGUGGAUCUAAAAAGAAUUUUCUCAUCUAAACCAGAGCUUCAGUCUCCCAGGAUCGUGAAUGUCUGAGAAUAAGCAGAUGCAGCCCUUUUCACAGAAGGGCAAGGUCCGCAGCUCCUCGGCAUCAUGGCAUUAUUUAUUCAUCAUGAGAGCCGCGAGUGAACAUGUACCCUGCAGAAAAAUCAAAUCAGUGUUCGGUUUCUCGAGCAGCUGCGUUUGGCAGAGAAAAAGCAUUUGGAUCUAACUUUGGUAACUGGACAAUUAUAGGCGUUAUUAAAUUGGAGAUGCAAAUGAGUAACUAUGUUUUCUUCCGAGUUUGUUCUAUUUCACUUGUAGUGUUUAAAUUAAAACCAGCUCAGCAUUUGUAAAAGCUGAUUCCUGAAAGCUUAGAAAAGUUCUGUGCUUGUCUAUAUACCAGUAGUUUCACUAAAAACAUUUACAUAUUAGCUAACCUCAAAGGACCAAAUCUGCAUUUAUUCAUGUUUACAGGUUUAAAUGGUCUUAGCCCUAAAGUCAUUGUGUUCUUAGAUAUCUAACACUGAAGAUUUGCUCACAAGUGGAGAUUCAGAUAGAACAAAACACACAAGCUUAGAAAUGUUAAUGUGUCUCUAUGUAUUAUAAAAAUACCUACCGAUAAUUUAAAGCCUGAGUAAUUUGUAUAUAUAUUUCCUGAUUUGUGGAAUAGACUAAUAUUACAUCAUAGUCCGAGAACUUUUUAUAAAUUGCCUAGUUUUUAAUUUCAAUUCUUCCAUUUACAAACUCUGGGACCUUGAACAAAUUAUUUUACCUCAGUCUCCUCACUAUAAAAUGGAGACAAUAACAGUGGUACCUCUUAAAUUGUUGAAGGCAUUAAACAAAUUAGUAUAUGUUAAAUAAAUUAAUAUAUAUGCUUAGGAUAAUGCCUGAUAGUAAUUGGAAUUCUGUAGAUGUGUGUGUAUAUGUAUAGAUUGAAUGUAGUUUUAUCAAACAGUAAAUUAGCAUAUCAUAAUAAUCCCUCAUUAUCUGUCUACCUUUCCCUCCAUAUUUCAGUUCAAUAAAAUUAUAGUUUUAUUCACUUUGUAGUCCACAACGCUUAUCAAUUUGUGUUGAUGCAACAUGCUAAUGUACAUUUUAUGAUAAAUAUUGUAGCUUUUAGACUGUUCAC